ACUGGCUCAGAUGUACUUAAAGGGGGUCGCGACACCUUAACAGAUGUUGUUCAUUACAUGAUGCACACAUUGUACUGUAUGCCAGAGCAUUGAGGGAAAAUAUUAUUGAGAAUUCCGCUGGUCGUUUUAGUGUAGCAUAGUGUAGCGUGCUGGAGUAGGCUCGGUGUAGCAAAAUCGUGUCGGUGCAGCUUACACCGGUUCGCCCAGCCGAACAUGAUAGGCGGUGCAAGUGUCGACAGUUCAUCGUCGAACACCUGCAGAGACUCGAACGAUUCCGCGGUAGCCGUCUUUGUCGACCGCUGGGAAGUUCGAAAUGCCAGUGAAAGGAAGGUGGCGGCGGCGGACGAGGGAGGCGGAAAUGAGUGCCGUGUUCCGGUCCACACCGCAGAUAUUCACUGUGUGGCGAAAGCUGCACCGCUGUUACAAUCGUCAGUGUGAGUCACACUCAGACGACCAGCGAAACACGGCACACAUUGCACUGGAACGACCAGUGAAACAUGCACGCUCGCACCAGCGCAACGUUUUCUGCACUAAAACGACCAGCGGAAUUCGCCAUAGUAUUUUUCUACGUGUCCUACAUUGCGAGGUAUGAGCCCUUGAGCACACGUACACCUCGCAUCAGAGUUAACUUGAAUGUCAUUCCUGCUGGUGCUUAGAAGAAAUAACGGCGGAACGUGUUUCGGUCACCUCAUUCCAGGUAGAGGGGUGACCAUCGUUACGAAGGCGUUGUUUUAAUGCUUGACUCUGCCAGGAUGGCUCUCUUUCCGUUUCGCAGGCUGGAGCGGCGUUCAAGUUAACUUUGACGCGAGCUGUAGAGCCGCCGGAAGCUCAGCCGAAAUCGCCGCUUCGAAAACAAUGCCGCCACUGGCGCAAAUACAGAGAAUAGGUCAUAUUCGUUGCGUUAAAUUCAUUCUUGCUCAUUGGCCUUUAAGAACUGAUGUCAGUGUUCGCGCUAAUUGAGUGCGAAUCAUUUGACUGAGAAGAGAGGUGACCAGUCGCGCAUGCGCGCGUCUCCUGUCUCCUGGCUUUUGCUUGUCUGUUGCAGUGGAGUGCAGCUGUAGCUUCCACAGUUUCGCCACGAAAACCACCGCCCCCCUUGACCACGUGAUCAUCCGUAACGAAUCACGACAAAAUAGCCGGAAAACGGCGCCAAAGAGCGCGCGCUGGCUGAUCGAACUGCGCGUGUGCGCUGCGUGCCCUCUCCACACCCUCUCACUCAUCUCCUCCCCCCCCCCCCUGUUCCGAGCGCUUCGCCAGGUCAUCUGCUAAUAUUAUCGGGAAGCAGAAAAUGAAAAUCCAGAAGACGAAGGAAUUCACAUGUACAAAUUUAUUGACACGGUAAACAUAUACACAAGAAGCAACAUUUGAAUGCAAGUAAAUCUACACGAUUAUUACAGAAUACUGCAGAAUAAACAGAUAAUAAAUAGCGCCGAGCAACAGAAAGCGUGACUAUCAUAUUAUACAAUCCUUAAGGGAACCUAUUCGGUUUGGAGAAAGUAGAUAUUAUUAUACAUAUCUAUAGCACGUGAUGAGUCGCAGAAGCCAUCCGCUUCAUCCCAGCACAACUGUCGAAUUUUCUGGUGACAGGGGCCACAUGCUCGCGGAUCGCAGGGCCACGAACAGCUGUCCGUGUCUGAAUGAAAAAACAAAAAACAAAGGAACCUGCUAAUGAUAUGGUAAAGGGGAGCACAGGCAACGUUAAUUGGCUGAAUACGCUCUAUAAGACAUGCCAACGUUACGCGUCUAAUGUCGACUAAUGCCAAAAUUGGAGGAGCCCUGCGUACGCGAUGCACGCUGUUUUGCUUUUCAUGCAUACCAGUGUAUUAAGCAUCAGACACAUUCAAACAGCGGAACAAAACGCAAGAAGCAACGCCACGCAGAAUCAUCAACCAGAUCAUGACUGUUAACCGGCAGAAAGUGAUGUAAUACGGGGCAAGGUGCACACAGUUAGGCGACAGUAUUAAACGUCUGAUCACUGACAUGCAUCAUACGUUUGUCUGCUUACCUUUCAUUCAGGCGUUCAUCCAUGGCUCGAAGAUCUUCGAAAUCCACGAAACGAAAUCACCGCCUGCUCACAUAGGCAGACGCGAGCUACACAACGGUCAGACGGGUCGGCGCCUCGGAGAAACGAACGCGGGCGAAUCCACCGGUUAAAUGAGCCUCAGCCAAUCAUGAUCGAGAAGGGUCACGUGGGAGACCGGAGCCAAUGGAAAGUAAAUAGCCGGAAUUUGGCGGGAAAUGCCAGUGGCGACACUAUUUGCGCGGCGGCGAAACCGGCUUACUGUGCCUCCUCUGUCUGUUGUAUCCGCUCCGCCCGUUGGUCUCCGUGUUCGCGGACGCUAGACGCUGGCGGGUAGUUUCGGUGGCUUCUAGUGUUUCCGGUAUAGAUUGUGGCGAACUACCGUGCACUUCCGAUGCCAACACAGAAUGACAGAUCCAUCUCAUCAUCAUCCGAACAAUGGAAAGGAGCGGGAUAUCCCAGGAAAUCCUUGCACCACCAAAGGAUGUGGAAAUCGUUCGUGUGGAAGUCGGCAUUCCUUCUUCCGAUUUCCCAUCGACGGUAAGACUAGUUUAGUUACUUUCUACAGAAGGAAACAAAGUCGCUCACUAACGUUUCAGGCGUCUCAUAGUGCAGUGCCAUAAUUUGUACAGUUCGGAUGCCGCUGAUUACACUGAGGGAAGGUAAAACGGGUAGGAACGCUGUAUUACAAUAUUAAACUUAAAAUGAACAAGACUUUCGUGCAACGCCUGCACUUCAUCAGGUUAUCACGACUCAUGUUAUUACUAAUCAGAUUAUAUGUGCUUGUUAUAGUAGUUGUCUCUCACGUAGCAGGUAUUCAUCUACUGUGAUCUACGAACCUUUGUGACACGUAUGCUUUCGUGUUUAUAUAGGAGAUCAGCAUGGAUUGCCUUUACACAACGCUCUUAGCUGAAUGACGCAUCAGACUCAGCUCUCAAUAAUAGGCUGUUGUGCGGCAAGCAUUUCACACUGAAUUCCAUCUCGUGCCAGAGUUGGGCUGAGAACAGCUUGCCCGAUAGUUUCACGACGAUACCUUUGCAGCAGAGUGUGGAAUACACCAAGCACUGUCACCCUAGACCUACAGUCGCUACCUGCUGGCACGCUGUAAGGCGCCACCGUGACAGUGGACUGUGCGCUGUGCGCUCAACAAAGCACAAACCCCAAGAAAAACGGUAUACAAGCGCCAAAUCUGUCGGUAUGCAUUUAGAAGGUGGUGUUGCCGUGCAGAAACACUAGCUGCUACCUCGUCCGGCAGAAGACUCUUCCUUCUAGAUGUCACGAGUCGUCCAUGAUGUACACUUUUUUUUUUCAAUGUUCCCACAGCCAUCGUCGACAACGACACACCUGGCACAGCGGUUCUAGAAAACUUGGAUAUGUGGACUGUGACUUGCUUCAGUGUUGAAACACGUAGUGCUCCAGUGAAGCCUCUUAUAUGGCAUAUGUGUGUAAUGUUACUUUUGUUAGCUAAUUUAUUAAGACAAAUAAAUUUGAUUCAUAAACCUCCAUCGCUUUUCAUUCUUCCAAUUUUUCGGCACACGGACGUUACUAUAGCUAGCGCGGAAAGAAAGUGCGCGAAGUUGGCGGAGCGAGAGCAGGCGACAAACCCGAGGAGAGAACGUUGAGGAGAUAGGAAACCUGGUCGGUCUGCGCAUGCGCACUACACCAUGGACCUGCACUUGCUUUUUCCCGCGCGGCGUAUCGAAAAGCAUUGUGAAUGGCUCCUGGAUAUCACGUCCCAAGCAGCACAAUGAACUGAAAGUCGCGUGCAAUAGGGGUGGACGGGUAGGUGGAAGGCCUUGAACAGACUCGUGAAACUAAAGAACAUUGAUAAGACACAGACCGUCCACCCCUAUUGCACUCGACUUUCAGUACAUUGUGCCGCUUGGGGUGGAGGCCUCCCAUUUUUCCUGAACCAUUGUAUCAAUGGGAGCUUCUGGCUGCUACACAUGUACGCGUCAUGCUCUGACAUCAGAGGCGCAAGGGCUACGGCCGUCCCCAUAGGUAAUCCUGAGCACGUGGCCACUCUUGGGCUGCCUUGCUGGCGGAGACACGUGCUGUGAUGUCGGAGCCGGAUGAGUUUCGAUAUUCGCGGUGUCGGUUAUCUACGCUAUGUUUAUUAGCCCCUUUGCUGUAAAACUUCGAAUCCAGGUCCACAUCAGUGCAGGUGACAGUCUUUUGGAUUAUCUGGAAUAACUUGGGACGAACUGUCGCAACGCAUCCAGGAAAUCGAAUCUACAAAAGCCAAGAAUAACUUGUCGUAGAGCAGCACAGGAGAAACGAACUUCCCAUGAUAAAGAAGGGCAUUCUAGUAAAUAUUUUCCUCACGACGUGGAAUUCCAGGCACCCCGCUCGGCCUGUGUGCAUGAAGCGGGGGCAAAGUACCCGGUAGCCUAAAACCUUUGUGACGGGAAGCCGGAAGCAUUGUGCCCCAGUCCCCUCCGGCGGAUUAAAAACUAUCCACAUGUAGUUGACGCAAUUAACGAAGGGCAGAAAUGCACCGUUCCGCAUAUACGGAGGGGCACUGAAUAUUCGCAUUGUUAUUCUGAGAUACUUGUCGUGGAAACGGAUCCAUCAUAGGACCAUUGUUGGUGUAAUCUAGCUCUGUACUAUUCAGCACUGUGGUUAAAAGUGUUCGUCCGAACUAAGCUUUAAGAGAGCAUGCCGUUACUGAAAUAUAUUUAU